rnacentral:rRNA from 1 species
UAACAAGGUUUCCGUAGGUGAACCUGCGGAAGGAUCAUUACCGAGUUGAUUCGAGCUCCGGCUCGACUCUCCCACCCAAUGUGUACCUACCUCUGUUGCUUUGGCGGGCCGCGGUCCUCCGCACCGGCGCCCUUCGGGGGGCUGGCCAGCGCCCGCCAGAGGACCAUAAAACUCCAGUCAGUGAACUUCGCAGUCUGAAAAACAAGUUAAUAAACUAAAACUUUCAACAACGGAUCUCUUGGUUCUGGCAUCGAUGAAGAACGCAGCGAAAUGCGAUAAGUAAUGUGAAUUGCAGAAUUCAGUGAAUCAUCGAAUCUUUGAACGCACAUUGCGCCCCUUGGUAUUCCGAGGGGCAUGCCUGUUCGAGCGUCAUUUCAACCCUCAAGCUCUGCUUGGUAUUGGGCCCCGUCCUCCACGGACGCGCCUUAAAGACCUCGGCGGUGGCGUCUUGCCUCAAGCGUAGUAGAAAACACCUCGCUUUGGAGCGCACGGCGUCGCCCGCCGGACGAACCUUUGAAUUAUUUCUCAAGGUUGACCUCGGAUCAGGUAGGGAUACCCGCUGAACUUAAGCAUAU